ACAAUUAUUGAGGAGCGGGGAGCCGUCCAAGUGUCCAGGCAACAGAAGAGGAGAAUAGUUGAAGGCACCAGAAGCCUUAAGCACGAAGCAACUCCAGAAGCCUUUGCCGCGACUAUAAAAGGAGGUACCGGGUGAAGCAUUGGAGAAACACACUAUGACAUCAAGGAAGACAUCAACCACAUCACCACCAGAGCACCAGAGCAUCACCAAGAAUCACGAAGACACACUCCACCACCGAAGACCUCCACCCACACUCCACUCAUGAAGACAUCCACCACCACUCUCUGAGAGAAAAAGAAUUAGCCACCAUAUUUUAGAAUCUACCGCUGUAUUACUCCACCUCUGUACUACCACUACUAGAAUAAAGGGAGGCCGUUGGAGCUCGUCCCUCAGUUUGUAAGGUAAUCAAGGUUUGUGCUAAGUGCUUGGGGUUUCCCGAAAGGGAAAGCCGCAUGUAAGCUUGUCCCGUGGAAAUGGAUUAAGCUAUCCUGGUAGCAUCCCUGGCUUCCUUUAAGCUCGUUCUUAUAGGGCGAUGUCUCUACGCUAGGGACCCUAGAGGAGAAACCUCUGCGUGUGUCGUUCUCGUGUUAGCCCUGGUAGCGGCGUUUGAGGAGAACCCUGUGUGCGCAGAGAAGUGUUCCCUUCGGGUGGAACUGCCUGGGGAGACGGUAGAGCCUGAGUCCUGUGUGAGCGUGGCUGGGGACGGUGAGGGUGCAGUCCGGGCUGGCCUGGUUCUGAAGCGAGCCAGCGAGGCAUGCGGUGAGUACCGAGUAGGACUGUCACAAGCAUAGCAGCACGACCGGGCUGAAUCUUCGGUCUCGCCAACCCGCAAAGAUCCUGAGAAUAGGCUUAAUUAAGGAAUAUACCUAAUCACGCACCCGCGCGUGCUCGUAUCCCCUGAAAGCGACCCCGAAUAGUAGCUCAAUAGUGCGCAAUAGUAAGUGAAUAGUGGCUGAAUAGUGCCGCCACGUUUAGGUGCUCCACCCACUCCCGGUGAGUGCUCGGGCACUAUUCAUAUUCCCGAAUUUGAAUAGUGAGCUGAAUUUAAAUAGUGCCGCGAAUUUGAAUAGUGUUCGCCGAAUUUGAAUAGUGCUGUGAAUAGUAACUCGAAAUUUGAAAUCCGAAAUUUUUCAAAGUCGCUCGUUCCCUCGCCCUCGAUCGAGAUUAACUGGUAUCAGAGCCGAGGUUGUUAAAAUUUGUGUUUUUGAGGGUUUUUCUAUAUUUAGUCAAGAUAUUUGAAUUAGCUGUUACAACCUUAAGUAAGUGUUUUGCUUUUGAUGGAAAGUUUAGUUAGCAAGAUUCAUCACUAUGAACAAAAGUUAAAUAAAAUACCUCAUGAAUAUAAUACCUCUAUGUUGAGUGAAUGGCCUGCUAUUAGAGAGAAAGAAGUUUAUUUUAUUAGGAUGUUAUAUAAGUUAAAAAAGGAUAAAGAUCUUUAUGACGAAAAAAUCAACUCUCAAUUAAUAAAAGAGCAAAAAGCUAAGGUGAAACCAGUAAACCUUGAAAGCCAUAAAGCAAAAGAAGUUCUGCAAAGUGAUAUCAUGAAAUAUUCCACUAUUGAUAAAGAAGCCCAAAAGAAGGUUAAUGAAAGGUAUCUUUUAGAAAGCUAUGAAGAAGAAGAAAAUAAUGUGCAGAGUCACAAUGAUUUUAUAAACUCUCUUGGUGAAAAGGAAAUACAUAAUAUAGAAAAUGCUAUGGAUGCGCUAGAAAUAAAAGAUGAAGAAACAAGUGAUUCAAAAGAAGCUAGAACUGAAUUAAUGGAUCAAGGAGAUUGUGAGCAUGAUUGGAUAAAAGGAAGAGGUGAUUAUAAUAUCAAAUGUGCUUUUUGUAUAUAUUAUCCUAGUCAAGAUAAUAGAUUUACAUGUAGUGUAUGUUUAAAAUAAUGUAGUGUAUGUUUAAAAUAAGCUUGUGCUUCAUGUUUAAGGAAUGCUAAUCAGAAAUGGAGACAAGAAAUAGAAAUAGUAGCAGAAGAUAAAAUACUAGCAAGUAGAGUUAGAAAUUUAGAAAAUAGAGUAAAUAUCUUAGAAGCUGAGUUGGAAGAUCUAAGAAGUAAAAUAGAAUUUAAUAAGAUUGAAGGAAAUGUUAGUGGCAACACUGAGUUUAAAGAUCAAGCCAUAGUUGAUAAAAAUAAUGAUAAGGCUAUACAAUUAAAAGAUGCUAUAAUUAAUUUUGGCAGCAAGUACAUAGUUAGAUUACCAUUUAAAGAAAUUGUAGGAAUAAGAAUACCUGUAAAGGUAAAAUUAACACCUACCAUCACUUAUAAAAUAUUAGCAUUAGAAGAUACUGGUUGUACAAAAAAUAUUAUACAUGAUAAAUAUUUUGCAAGAUGCCCAGAGAUAGUACAUACAAUAGCUCGUUCUUAUGGGGCGAUGUCUCUACGCUAGGGACCCUAGAGGAGAAACCUCUGCGUGUGUCGUUCUCGUGUUAGCCCUGGUAGCGGCGUUUGAGGAGAACCCUGUGUGCGCAGAGAAGUGUUCCCUUCGGGUGGAACUGCCUGGGGAGACGAUAGAGCCUGAGUCCUGUGUGAGCGUGGCUGGGGACGGUGAGGGUGCAGUCCGGGCUGGCCUGGUUCUGAAGCGAGCUAGCGAGGCAUGCGGUGAGUACCGAGUAGGACUGUCACAAGCAUAGCAGCACGACCGGCUGAAUCUUCGGUCUCGCCAACCCGCAAAGAUCAUGAGAAUAGGCUUAAUCAAGGAAUAUACCUAAUCACGCACCCGCGCGUGCUCGUAUCCCCUGAAAGCGACCCCGAAUAGUAGCUCAAUAGUGCGCAAUAGUGAGUGAAUAGUUGCUGAAUAGUGCCGCCACCCAUAGGUGCUCCACCCACUCCCGGUGAGUGCUCGGGCACUAUUCAUAUUCCCGAAUUUGAAUAGUGAGCUGAAUUUAAAUAGUGCCACGAAUUUGAAUAGUGUUCGCCGAAUUUGAAUAGUGCUGUGAAUAGUAACUCGAAAUUUGAAAUCCGAAAUUUUUCGAAGUCGCUCGUUCCCUCGCCCUCGAUCGAGAUUAACUGGUAUCAAAGCCGAGGUUGUUAAAAUUUGAUUAAGCCUCCGCUAUUCGGUACCCAGGGUACAAAAUAGGUUUAUUCUGUACCCGAGUCCCUCGGCGCACCAGCCCCCGCACGGUCGACCGACCCUCCCUAGCGCGUCUGUUUUUUUCCUCCCCGCGCUGGCCGUCCCCGCACGAGUCCGGUUUUUUUUUCCCACGUCCGAUUUUUUCCCACGCGCUACCUCACGGUCCCCAUUUUUCUUCCGUCGCGUGCAUGUUAGUCAUGAAGAUGCGUAUUUUUUCCCCCGAGACUUGUGGCACAGGUUGACUGUUUGGAGUGGCUUGGUAGAUUCGGUCUUGACAAAAUGUUGGCACAUUGGUUGAUACGCAUGGGAUUAGAUUAAUUGGGUCUGUAUGAGUAUUAGAUUAAUUUUUUGUACAUCAGCAAUUCGAGUAAUUGGUUCUGGACGCGUUGGACCAACACAUAGUUUCUCGCAGACUCGCACAUAAAUUCGCUAGCCGGUCACAAACACUUAAAAAUGCUAUUGACACGUUGGCCCAGCACGUCGUUAUGAUUGCAAUAUACAUCACGAAUUUUUACCGAUCUUUAUGACUGCAGGAUAUAUUACAGUUUGGUAGGGCUAUUUUCACUCAAAGGGUACCCGUCUUUAUGAUUACGAGCUAAAUGUAUGAAUAAAAUAAUAAAGGAUUAUCAUCUAGAAAAUAAUUUAUAUAUCUUGAAUUUAGAAUCUAGCCGGUGACUGAUUGGCGUACAAGUGAAGGAACAAACAACAAGUGUAUGAUGGUCUUCGCCUGCAUGAGGCAUGAGAUACGAUUUCUUUGGAAGCCAUCAUCAUGCCAUAAGAAGGGUUAUGAAGGAUCACAUUACAGUCAUUACAGUCGGAAAGACAUGAACAUCACGCCAGAAAUAAUUUUAUACAGUUCCCUUGAGAUAUUUCAACCUUCACAAUCAUCUGAGCUUGUUGGAUGUCUUCCAUAAUGCAAACAAAUGUCAAGCUUGUUUGGUCAAACAAAUCUGCUCUAAUGUGAACUUGCUAGCUAUCGAUUUGUCAUAAUGACCACACAACCAUUAUGAGCAUACUGUUCAGGUGUCGUCUCACGUCUAAGGUGUCCUAAGCAAAGUAACUGACCGGAACAUCAGCCUGUAAAUAAGAUCCAUGAGCAAUUGAGUGUUCAUCAGCUGAACUGAAAAUGUAAAUUAUUUAAGUCAAACUACUCAGGCCCAAAGGUAUUUCCAUGCACCAGAGAUUUCUUAAUUUAAUGGCUUAACAAGAGAUCCUUGAGAGUAAAAUGGUUGGCGUAUAUAUCAACUUGAAUGCCCAAUCGAGCUUUACAUGAUUAAAAUUGCUUUUGUGAGUUCUCAUAGUCAUCCGAGAUUUUCUUUACUGUGGAAUAUAGUUGCAUAAUCCAUAGCAUUAAAACAUACAAAAACCAAAAAAAAAACCUACAUGCUCAUAAUUCUCUGUGGCUAGAAUAAAUAGAUAUACUAAAUAACCCCAUAUCAACAAACGUUAAAAUUUGUCAAGAAAUAUAAACAUGCAUAUGUAAAUGCAGUGAUUGUUCAGUAUACUACAAGUUGACAAAUAUUUCUUAGAAAUUCAAAUGCAUGUAUCUUUUAUUGGAGAAGAUCGCCAAAGAAAGAUCUCCCCGAUGGCACUCUGUCAAAGAAUGCUACCAAAAACUGCUUGGUACAUAGAAGUCAAGGGACCAACAAAAUUUUCACACAGAAACGUACAACGUGAGCAAAGAUUGACCAAUUAACUCAACAGGUUCUGCAUCCUAACUCAAAAUUAGAGAAAAAUGAUCAAUCCUAGAAACAAACGAACAAAGAUAAAGCAGAAGGUUGGACAGUAGUGCACGGUCUAAAUGCCGGACAAUGUGCAUCAAAUUGAAAAGUAAGGCAGCAGGUUGGAAUGAUGAAGUAUGCAACUGUUCAUCAAAUUGACAAGAUAAAGUGGCUUUCUAUAUUUGGAGAUAAACAUCUGAGCAAUAGAUAAAUGGUCUUGCAGCAAGCAAAGUGGCAUGCAUAAGCGGAUACUGACAUUUCAGAAUACAUAAGUACGCAUAUGGACAGUAAUUUUCAUCAGAUCUGGGAUUUAUGAGCAACUGAUAUGUCACACAAGCAAUUGUACUAAGCAUGCCAUAAAGUGUAAGAAUCAGAAACCUAAAAUCUGAAAUAUCAGCAGCUACAUAUAAAGAUAAGGGUAGAUAUAUUGAUACCGCAUAUUAUGCCCACUGUUUAAUAGGUGCAAUCUUAGAAGAGAUACUAACCAAAAGCCAAAUGGGAGCAUACUGACAAAUGAAGCAAAUGAAACUUCCACCUUCAGGCCAAUAGGCCAUGGCAUACCAAGUGAAAAUUCUAUAUAGUGGGAGAGAAAACCAACAGAUAGUUGCAAGCAUUCUAAUUAUGGAUUUAACUGCACAGCACCAACUACAAAAGAAUAUGUCUUUUUUAAAAAAACAAGAAACGUCACCAAAUGAGUGGUCUUUACGAAAAAAAAUAAGAAAACAAAACUAAAUUCUUCAUGACAGAUAACAGAGAAAACAAUCACAUCUUCUAUCUGCUGGAAACAUCGCACUUCUAUCACCAUGGAAAGAAACAAUAUCAUUUAAAUUAACGAUAGAUAUCACUCAGUUCUUCAUCUGAAAUAAUUAUCAGCUGGUCCAGGGGCUGAAAGAUUUGAUUGGAUCGAUAUGAAAUGACCCUGGAAAGCAUAUAGUCACUACUUGUAACUUGAUUAAAUUGGCACCAGCAGCUAUACUUAUUGGCUAUUGCACAUAAUCACACUGAGGGACAUGUGAGAUGGUAAGGUAAAAAAAAAAACCUUUAUUCUAGAUGUACUGCUGGGUUGUAUCCCCUUUUGCCUUGAUUUUUCAAUGUUAUAUCUGGGAUAAUUUGUAUUGCAAACAUGAACCUGUCAGCACGACAGCAUCACAAGGAAAAGGGGAUUAGCAUGCAUGCAAGAAUCUACACAAAAACAACAGAGAGGCAAUAUGGUUACAAAACAACAAUUACCAUGCAGAAGGAUUAUCGGAGGAAAUAAGAUCCACCUCUCCAGUGGUGUUAGAUCUACACAAAGGAGCAUAAAUUAAAAUUGGAAAUAGGAUUAAUUGAACAAAAAUCACAGGCAAGAUCAAUUUCAUCAGAAGAAUUCCUGACCUCAUGCAGUCUCAGCAGCAUGCCAUCAUGGAUGCCUUCCAGCAUAAUUGACCAGAUACGGCCGCGCAUGCCCCAGCAACAUUCGUGUGACACAAAUCCAAAAUCUUCCAAAAUUGACAGAAUCAGAAACAUUUUUAUGCAUCCAAAUCAGUUUCACCAACAUCAAACACAGCUGCUCACCUGAUUGCCGAGAGUGUCGUUGUUGCCACAUAUGCUUGCGUCUGCACGGAUGAGGCACAAGAACCUGGGUACACGCAGAAGCUGAUGACCAUGAGUGAAGAACGAGUAGGUGAGCGUGCUGUUAAUGGCAUGAAUACCAGCGGAGAGAAGGCAUCUAGCAGUAGCACGUAUGCCUGAACUCCAUAGGAAACAAAUCCAAAAACAUCCGCAUGCACAUAAGCACAAAAGUUUUGAAUCUUUGAACUAGAUUUUGGAUGGGGGCACAUAGAUUGCACUAACCUGGAGCUCCCUUCGUGAUGGAGGGCAUCUCCGGAGCCACUGAGCACUCGCCGCCCGCGAGUCAUGAGGAGGAAGCAGCCGCGGCCGUGUCGUCGCACGGAGGGGAUUGGUGCCGCGCCGGAUCAUCGCCACUCCACCGGCGAAGAAACUAGGAGCGUCAACCACACACCAUGGGCAUAGCAAGAUAACACGGAUGAGAUUUUCUACGCAGAAAAAUCAAAAAUUUUGGGAGGCCAUCCGCAUCACCGCAAUGCAUACCUGCCCUCACGGAUCUAGAAGGGGAGCGCACAGCCGUACCGCCGCUCGCCUGGAGGACGGAGCCCCCGCCUCGAUUUGGUUGUCAGGUCAGCAAAUCCGGUUCGCCCUCACGCCCACGACGAGGAUCCGGCCGGGAGGUGGCCCUGUUGUCCGCCGUAAGGGGAAGGAGACCGCAACCGUCGUCACGUGGAGGGGGAUGGCGCCGACGACCGUCACCGACCGACCAGCUCCCGCAGCUUGUGGCACCGUCCAUUAGGCCCACCCUCGGAUCUGGGUGACAGGGAGGGGAUAAGGAAGCGGCCGCCGCAACACUACCGCCGGAGUGCCGGGAGGGGCGGAGGCGGUGCUGCGAAGGGCCUGGAGGCGGCGGCGGUGUGGAGCAGAGCACGAGAGGGACGGGGAGAGAUGCGAUCGCGGUCUCGCGGAACUGCAAAUGCAGUUUGUAGGCCAUGAUCUCCGGCUCCCCGCCGUAGAAAAAAAAAUAGCAAAAAAAACCGGUGCGGGCGGCGGACCGGAGGGGCUCAGUCUAGGUUCGGCUCCACGGAGCGACCCGGGUACAGAAUAGCUUAUUCUGUACCAGGGUAUUAUUUAGUGUGUGUGUAUAUAUAUAUAUAUAUAUAUUUCAUUGCACAUACAAUAUUCUCUGAGGGUUGGAUCUAAAUGGGUUGAUACUUAUGAGACUUAUAUUUAAAUAGGUUGAUACAUGACAGAACCACAUUUUAAAAAUUUGGCGUGAAAAUGGUACAAAAUUUUGGUAGGAACGGCAUUUCCAGGGAUGGGUGGAAAAUAAUUUGUUUCCAGGAGUAGACAUGUUACCAGCUCCUACAAAUAACUAUUUAGCUGUGAAAAGCUGGAGUGGGUAGCGCACACGCCCCUGCAAAUGUUGUUUGAAACCGUUUUUGUAGUAGUGCAUGCCUAGGAAUAGUAGUGGUCUGCUUAUCUCUUGCUCAAAUAAAUCUUGCGAGAUCCUAUAUUUGCUAAGUAUAUCCGCGAUUUAGCAUAAAAAAGAUACUUUUUUUGUCAUCAGCUAAAUCUUGCUCAAGUUGUUUUCUUUAUUUUUUAGUCAAGACAAAUCAAUAAGUGAUCUCCGCAAGAUUUACUUCCUCCGUCUGGAAAUACAAGGUAUCUCAAAGAUUUUAGGACAUAUUAGCAGGAAUAGCAAAAGAUGCAUGUACCCCUAAAUUAUAGGUGGGAAGUUGUAUUGUCUGGCUCUUUUAAUGACAAAAUUGCAUAUAACAAGAAAUUAAUUUUUAGUAAUAAUCCACUAAUCAGCCAUCCUUAAUUCAAUUCUGGGUAUAAUUAAAUGAGCAAUCAUCCAAAUGUACUUAUAAUGCCUUGUAUUUGAGGAUAAAUUUUAAACUCUUGAAUGUCUUGUAUUACAGGAUGUAGCAAGUACUCCCCUAUACAAAGAGUAGAACUGAAUCUUGCCUUGCAGCCGCUUCCACCGCGCACCUGCGAGAGAACCCAAGGUUGAUUCCGCUUACCCAUGUUGGGGACAUUGGCUAAGCGAUUGCAUCGUGAACCGGGAGAGGGCGAGAGG
rnacentral:lncRNA from 1 species